UACGACGGGGGCUAGCGUUGUUCGGAAUUACUGGGCGUAAAGCUCACGUAGGCGGACUCUUAAGUCAGGGGUGAAAUCCCGGGGCUCAACCUCGGAAAUGCCUUCGAUACUGUGUGUCUCGAGAACGGAAGAUGUGAGUGGAAUUCCUAGUGUAGAGGUGAAAUUCGUAGAUAUUAGGAAGAACACCAGUGGCGAAGGCGGCUCACUGGUCCGGUUCUGACGCUCGGGUGCGAAAGCGUGGGGAGCAAACACG
rnacentral:rRNA from 1 species